rnacentral:rRNA from 1 species
UGCCAGCCGCCGCGGUAAUACGAAGGGGGCUAGCGUUGUUCGGAAUAACUGGGCGUAAAGCGCACGUAGGCGGAUUGGAAAGUUAGGGGUGAAAUCCCGAGGCUCAACCUCGGAACUGCCCUUAAAACUAUCAGUCUAGAGUUCGAGAGAGGUGAGUGGAAUUGCGAGUGUAGAGGUGAAAUUCGUAGAUAUUCGCAGGAACACCAGUGGCGAAGGCGGCUCACUGGCUCGAUACUGACGCUGAGGUGCGAAAGCGUGGGGAGCAAACAGGAUUAGAUA